AAGACCAAAGACUUGAUCCUCUUUUGAGCCCUCACAAGCUAUGCACGUGAUUUCUUAACCGUAACAAUGCGCGCUGGCACGGUACAACUGUACAGAACGACCGCCCUUGUGCUUCGAGGAGAGAGAGAGAGAGAGAGAGAGAGAGAGAACGGGAUCGUCUGCUCUUGAAACCCUAGAUUGUGAUUCCGAAAAUUCAAUAACAUUCGUACGGAAAUGGCGAAGCUUGAACCUCUGGAGGAAACCGUUCCGAGGCAGCAGCAGCAGCAGCAGAAGAAGAAGCCGAAGAAUGUGAUGAGGAACCAUGGUUCGACCAAGUUCUUCGUGCUCCUAGACUACCUCUUCCUGCUCAUAUUCUUCGGUUUCCUCUGCUUCAUCGUCUUCAAGAUGGUCGGCAUCUGAUAUUUUUUUUAGAAAUGUAUAUUCGAGCACUUUGUGGCUUUAAUCGACAUUAUAUGAAGGGUUAUGCUUGAGUA